AUUGAACCCUGGCGGCAGGCCUAACACAUGCAAGUCGCACGAGUGGCGGACGGGUGAGUAAUGUCUGGGAAACUGCCUGAUGGAGGGGGAUAACUACUGGAAACGGUAGCUAAUACCGCAUACCAUACGAUGUGCCCAGAUGGGCUUAGCUAGUUGGUGGGGUAACGGCUCACCAAAGCGACGAUCCAUAGCUGGUCUGAGAGGAUGACCAGCCACACUGGAACUGAGACACGGUCCAGACGCCUACGGGAGGGAGCAGUGGGGAAUAUUGCACAAUGGACGGAAGCCGGAUGCAGCCAUGCCGCGUGUAUGAAGAAGGCCUUCGGGGUGUAAAGUACUUUCAGCGUGGAGGCGUUACCCGCAGAAGAAGCACCGGCUAACUCCGGGCCAGCCGCCGCGGUAAUUC
rnacentral:rRNA from 1 species